rnacentral:lncRNA from 1 species
AGCGCACGGGCGCCUCAGCGGGCGGACCUCGGGGGCGGCGCCGCGGGCAGCGAGCGGGCGCCGGGAAGCCGCAUCCAGCUCGCGGGGUGCUCUGCGCUCGCCCGCGCGGCCCCCACAGCCUGCGCCCCGAGAAGCCGCCCCGGAGUGCGCGCUGCCCGUUAUGUGCACGACUUUAGGGAGCUGCCCUCCGCGUGACGUGCGCCAACUUUCCGCCAAUGGCGCGCGGGCAGCCCCGAGGGCCCGAGCGCCCCGCCCCGCCCGCCCCGCCCGCCCGCCCGGCCCGGCCCGGCCCGGCCCGGCCCGGCCCUCGGCUCUCCCGCCCGCUCGCGGGGCCGGCCCGGGCGGGGCCCCGCCGCUGCCCGGCCGCCCCCGAGGCCCGCGGCUGGGGCUGGCGAGCUCCCCCGCCGCGCCCGGGGCUUGGCGCUCCCUGGGGGCCGCUACCUGUGCGGCCCCCAGCACUCGGAAGAAGCAGCGACAGGCAGGGACAGGCACACGCGCACCCCGACAGACAGGCUCAGACUUCUGCGGAGACGCGCCCGUCCAGCGCACCCCCCAAGCACACUCGUGCGCGCGCACACAGAAGCCCACGCGCACAAAGUCACCCCUGCCCAGCGGAGGCCGGGCCAGAAAGCCAACACAGGAGCGCCCAGAGCACAGAACCAGGUAAACAGGACGCUGAGCGCUCACGUGGAGGCAGGCAGAGAGCCACAGACUCGGACGACCCCCUCCAGUGUUGCUCUCAGAUUUCUAGAAUAUACUGUUAUGGCCACAGAGUUCUUCCUCAUGACUACCCUUCUCUGGUGAAGAAGCUGAAAUACAAUUUAACCAAACCUGAAACUGAAAAGAAGACGAGAAGACCUGGGGCGAGCUGA